AGGAAGCCCCGGCUAACUCUGUGCCAGCAGCCGCGGUAAUACAGAGGGGGCAAGCGUUAUUCGGAAUUAUUGGGCGUAAAGGGCGCGUAGGCGGCUUGGCAAGUGGAAGGUGAAAUCCCUCGGCUUAACCGAGGAGCUGCCCUCCAAACUGCUUUGCUUGAGGCCGGGAGAGGUGAGUGGAAUUCCCAGUGUAGCGGUGAAAUGCGUAGAUAUUGGGAGGAACACCAGUGGCGAAGGCGGCUCACUGGACCGGCACUGACGCUGAGGCGCGAAAGCGUGGGGAGCAAACGGGAUUAGAUACCCCGGUAGUCCACGCCGUAAACGAUGAGUGCUUGGUGUAGCGGGUAUCGACCCCUGCUGUGCCGAAGUCAACACAUUAAGCACUCCGCCUGGGGAGUACGGUCGCAAGGCUGAAACUC
rnacentral:rRNA from 1 species